rnacentral:rRNA from 1 species
AACGAACGCUGGCGGCAUGCCUAACACAUGCAAGUCGAACGAGACCUUCGGGUCUAGUGGCGCACGGGUGCGUAACGCGUGGGAACCUGCCCUUAGGUUCGGAAUAACUCCCCGAAAGGGGUGCUAAUACCGGAUAAUGUCUUCGGACCAAAGAGUUAUCGCCUUUGGAUGGGCCCGCGUUGGAUUAGCUAGUUGGUAGGGUAAAAGCCUACCAAGGCGAGGAUCCAUAGCUGGUCUGAGAGGAUGAUCAGCCACACUGGGACUGAGACACGGCCCAGACUCCUACGGGAGGCAGCAGUGGGGAAUAUUGGACGAUGGGCGAAAGCCUGAUCCAGCAAUGCCGCGUGAGUGAUGAAGGCCUUAGGGUUGUAAAGCUCUUUUACCCGGGAUGAUAAUGACAGUACCGGGAGAAUAAGCUCCGGCUAACUCCGUG